rnacentral:lncRNA from 10 species
GUGCGUCAUUUUUUAAGCCCGUCGGAAAAGCACAGUAUUCGGGUGGGAGUGAUCCGAUUUUCCAGGUGCCGUCUGUCACUCCUUUCUUUGACUAGGAAAGGGAACUCCCUGACCCCUUGCACUUCCCGAGUGAGGCAAUGCCUCGCCCUGCUUUGGCUCGGGCAAGGUGCGCUGCACCCACUGACCUGCGCCCACUGUCUGGCACUCCCUAGUGAGAUGAACCCGGUACCUCAGAUGGAAAUGCAGAAAUCACCGGUCUUCUGCGUCGCUCACGCUGGGAGCUGUAGACUGGAGCUGUUCCUAUUCGGCCAUCUUGGCUCCUCCCUACUUUUCCUAAUUUCUAAGGAUGAAAUUGACAAGCUGAAUCUAAAAUUCAUAAUGUAAGUACCCAGAAUCACUGAAACAAGUUAGAAGAAAAAGAAGAAAUGUAGAAGACUUGGGUACUUGAAUUUAAUAUUCAUUAUAAAGCAGAUCAAUGAUUUCAUGGGGAUGGUGAUUGAUGCUAAUGGGAAGGAUAGGAGGGAGGGAUUAGGGGCACAAGAAAACUACUGGGGUGAUGCAUAUGUUCAUUAUGUUUCCAAGUUGUGUGCAUGUAUGUAUUUGUAUAGAUAUAUACAAACAUUUCAUGUAUAUUUUUCAUAUAUAUGUCAAAACAUCAAUUGAAUACUGUAAAUAUGUAAAGUUUAUGUUAAUCAUACAUCAAUAAUUUUGGUAGUCCCCUCUAAUAAAUUGCGUUAAGAUCUCAUGAUAUUCGUGUGUGUGUCAAGCUUUCCUUUCAAUUUGUGUUAUUUUCUAUUCGUUUGCAUUCAUUUUGUUGUAUUUUUUUCUUUUCGAUUCUAUUGCAUUGUAGUAUAUAUGAAAGUCUUAGCAAAUUCUUUUUGUAAUAAGAUGUAUAACAAUGUUAUAUUUCAACAGGACCAUGAGAUGUGAUAUUUUAAAGGCCAACAAAUGCCUCUUUGCAUGUCAGUUUAGAAUGCCUCACUAAGAGGACUGUCCAUAGGAUGUAGUUCUCAUUCCCAUACAAUCUGUUCAAUGGUUUUUCUAAUUUGUCUAAUUUCAUUCAUUCAUUCAUUCAUUCACUGAACAUAUUUCUGUGGCAGGAUUUGAAUGAUAUAAGUACAUGAUAUUGAAUUUACUUGAUCUUAUGUGGUUGAUUAUAACUGUAGUUUAAGCAUUACAUGAAAAAUUUUAGACACUAAAUAGCAAGUCCUACUGAUGUUAGAUGCAGUUUCAUUUCUGUAACAUUAUUUUCUUCUUAGAUGCUUGGUAGAAUAAUUUACUUUCAGAAUCAUCCUGACACAUUCUGACAUUUAAGUAGUUUGAUUUUACAUGAUAUAUUAUCCUUUAAAAAAAUAGGACAAAUGCCAAAUGCCUGUAUCAACUUCAGUGUUUACAGCACAGAAUUAUUAAUUAAAUUUAGUUCUUCAUUUGAAAAAUAAGUUUGCUGGACUCUGCCAGUUGGAGUGUGGAUUAAUUUAAUGUAGUUUGAAAUAUAGGAAUUACCAAAUCCAGUUAAGUUUUUAUUAUGCUAUUUCUAUGUCUUGAGGCAUACACCCCUGUUUAGAGAUUUUUUUUCUCUCCAGGCUAAGAUUUCUGUUCUUUUUUAUUUAGCCUUCUUGGGCAUGUUGCAAAUAUUCUACCUAGUUAUGUUUUCCAGGUCUAUUGUAGUAGAGCCAAUUCUUCAUUUUCUCUGCUUCUCACCUGUUUUUGUCUAUUUAUUUGUGUAUAAGAUGUCAAAGGAAAAUGAAAAGUAACACCUCAAAAUACCACCUUGAAAAGGAAAAUGCCAACAAAUUCUUUUCUGCACCUGAAGCUUUUAAUUCUUUAAUCCACCAUGGAAUGUUGCUUAAUUACAUAUUUUAUUAUGCAUAACUGAAAAUUAUGUACUUUAGUUUCAACAAUGAUAUGAAAGCAUGUAUUGUUUAUAAAUAGAGACUGGUUUGUCUCUUUUUUUAUAUUACAAAUAUUUGUGGAAUUCUCACAUGUUCUCCUUCUAAAACUUGGCUUUUUGAAAAUGCUCAGAGAGCUCUGAGAAAAACUUCAAAUUUUAAUGUUUUCUCUAGAAAUCAGAAAAUUCAUUUCUUAAAAAAAAAGAUGAUGUCAUAACGACAUUAUGGGUAAAAACCAUUGAACAGUUUAAAGAUUUUUGUAGAAGUUUUAUCUUCGUUAGUUUCAUGAAGUAUUUAUUGAUGAAAAAAUGUUACAAUUGUUGAAUUAGGUGAUAAAUUCAUGGGAGUUCCUUGUCUCUACUUUUGUGUGUGUGUUUGAAAUUUUCCACAAUAAAAUUUGUUUUUUAAAAGACAUUUAGUGUGUAUAGGUCUUUGGAGGUCACUAUUUCAUGAGGAAAUAUUCCAUACACUUGAUUUCAAGUAGUUAGUGAUCAAAGUCUUCAUAUUAGCAAAAUAUGCAUUACAACAUAUUUCUGAAAAUUUUGAAUUGCCAUUAGGUUUUUGUGUGUGCAUUUUUUUUUUUUUUUUUUUUUUUUUUGCAUUUGAGAGAGUUUUUGUUAGGGAAAAGAGAGAGAAAUGUGUAGACUUGAGUUUGAGACAAAUGUGGCCACUUAACAGCUAAACAAAUCAGUUAACCUAUUUGAGUUUCCCUUCCGUUGUCUUUGAAGUGAGAAUGUCAGUGCCUGCCUUAAAUACCUCAAGGUGGAAUGCAGAGGUUUAAACAAGAUAUGUUUGUGGCAGUGCCUAAUAA